rnacentral:tRNA from 1 species
GCAAGAUUAGUGUUAACGGUCAGCACAUCAGUUUUCCAAACUGAGGGUGGGAGUUCAAAUCUCCUAUCUUGCU